UGUCAAACUUUCCCCAGAGCCAAUGGAAAGGGGAGGGCCCGUUGCAGAAGGGGGGAGGAGGGAGAAGUGCCCCAGAGCUGUUUGCUUUGCCAGGCUAAGUUUAUUUGCGCAGUACUUUUAUCACACCUUUCUGUUUGCUCCCGCCAGUAAACCGGGGUCUGUGUCAAACACUGACUCGGAGCAAUAAAAGGCCAUCCUGGAAAUCAGACAGAGCGACUGCGCUCCCCCGGCAGCCCCGCCGAGAAACCCGCUUCCCGGGGAUUGUUUUCUGGCGAGGAAAGAAUUGCUGAACUAGAGGAGAAAAGGCAACCCGGGAGCGAUGUCUCUGAAAGGUUUCAUAAUUCUAAUCACAAUGAGCCGGGCGGUAAGAAAGUCGUAGCGACGCCGCCCGGGAUGAGUGCACACUUGUACCCAGCCCUAUCAGUCCUGGCACAAACGGGGCUGGGGACACGCAGAUCUGCCCCUGGAGUUUGUAUUUGAAGGACACACAUUGUCCAGGGUUUGCGUUGCUUAAGAAAAGCGAGGGGACUGGCUUCGAACGCCCCGCGAUCCCCAGGGUAAAGCGGCGUCGAACUCGUGUGUGUAGGUUCAAGUGUAAACGCAAAAGCUCUGAAUGACCAGAGAAAUGCAGCCCGCGGGGAAAGCCAGGCGCUUCCUCCUUGGAGCUUCUGAUGCGUUGAACCAUCAGACUUAUCGAGCUGGCAGUCAGAUCUCCUGCUUGUCAAAUAGUUCCCCCUGUCUGAGCAGGUCACCGAACGGCUUGGAUUUGUAAUUAGGAGCGCGGCGAAGUGGAGUCUGAGCCGCCUUGGCCUUUGCUAGGUCCCCGUUUGAUUCUUUUCCUUUUGUUCCCUCUCUUCAGCCUGGCCCCAUAUGGGCCCGGGGAUCAAUUGUGCCAGUCUCGGAUGGGCGAGUGACCGCAGCUUCUCCCCCCACCAGGUCAGACAAAUCCCGUCCCCCGGUACCCCAGCUUUGCAGCUGAUCCUGCGCCCCCUGGAAAUUGCCGAAUAUGCAAAAAAAAAAUACACAAAGGUGCGGGGCAAGUGGCCUUGAAUCGAGGCUCGGAACGGGGAGGGGGCGCUAAAUGGGCUUAAAAGGUGUGUGUGGUUCUAACCCCCGUCCCCACAGGAGGGUCCGCGUUCCCACGCCCGGUUAUGCUUCCCGGAGGGGGCUCGAUCCGAAGGAAAUCUACCCCCGCGCGUACACACGGGUCAUGCAGCCCGGAUCUCCCGCAGCGGGUCGGGGAGGGCUGGGAACGGACUGAAUCGGGCUGCAGAGCUCGGCAGGGAAACGUUUGAAAGCCAGUCGCUGAAAGCACCAAGGGGCAAGGGCGGGUUUCCUCCCCCCGUCUCUGGCCCAGCCUGGGGGGACCCCGCGGGUCGGAGACGGUGGAACGAUGUGGGGUGAAGCCAGGCGGCGGGGCCCGGCAGGUUGGCGUGACCGUGUUUCCCGGCAGCAGAGCUGGACAAGGGAGAGGUCCCCCCGAGAUGUGUGUCCGGGUCCCGCUCCUGGAGGAGCGCUUCGCCGCUGGCAGUAAUGGGACGUGCUGGACUCGUGUCUGCGUGCAAGGAGCUGGCUGCGUUCAGUUCCCAGUGGGAAGAGACCCACGUUGCAAAGUUACCCUCACAACUGGCACCAGUUGGCAUCCUUGUUCGCUGGCCCAAUAUCGAAUGAGCCAUGAAGGCUGAAUGAUGUUCCCAGCCCCGAAAGCAGCUGUAAUGCUGCAAUGGAAUUACUCCAAUGAAUACGUAUUACUCCCAGGAUUAACAGUGGCGGGGUCGGGCCCAAUGUCUGGGAUUCCCUGUUAGCUACAAGAACUGACUUGCAUUUUCUUAUAUGCAGUGGUUGUAGCCUUUACCACCUUGUGCCUCUUGCAUCUUCUUAGUGAGCUAGGAACUAUUCCCUGCAGAAGCAUCUUGUCUCCUAGCUCCAUAGACUACGAGGUCCAUAAACACAAGUGGAUUGUGUUUGUAAAUCGAGUGAUUACAGGGCACAGACUGAAACUCCUUCCAUUUCCAGUCACCUCCAUGUAACUAACAUGAAGGAGGUGAGUCGAAGGCAGACAUCUGAGGCAGACUGGUCAUCUGCAAGUGCCUUUUUUCUCAUAGUUGAUUUCCAGACUUCAGCUUUUUUUUUAAAAAUGCCAUAACAAAAAGCUACAGCCCUGUUGGCUGUUGUUGGCUAUAUGGACCAGUGGAGCUUCACAGCAGCGGAGGAACUGGAACCUAUGUGUUUUUUGAGGGGAGCUUUCUAUCGCUCCUUUCUUGGUGAAACACCGAACAAAAGUUGCUACGCUGGUGGAAAUUUAAUUCUGUGCUGCCCCCACAGGGUCAGAUCCUCAGCUGGUGUAAAUCAGGGUAGUCCCACUGACUUUGCAGCGUUAUGAUCCCUCGGAUGCAUGCAAUUUGGUGCAGCUCCACUGUCUUCAUCCAAUGUUUCACGCGCUCUCAGAUGCUCCUACUAAGUUUCAGGAAGGCGCGAGGUCUGACCCCAGGAAUCUGGUGUCGAUGUGCUGGAGAAGAGGCAGAACCUCUCCUUUAACCACCCCACUGAAUUCUGGGGGAAGAAGCUGCUGAGAAAACGGUUUUCACCCAGUGGUAUCUAAGUGCCUAGAAGACAUGACCACAUCACAAAAGCCAUCUCCAUCACCAGAUGUGGUAGCUGCCAACUUGCCACCCUUGUGAACACUAUGAGCAGAGGGGCCCUGGGUUUAAUGGGCCAUGAAUUAACUUCAUAGUUAACACCUUAGAGGUGUUCAAGGCAUUGGGCCCUCCAAUGCUGAGAAGAUCUGCAGUUUCAGGAGAGACUCAGACAAGCCUGGAUGUGCCUGCAGCAGAAAUGCAAGCAUCAACCAUUAAAUACUAGGGGGCUUGCUUUAUGCUGCGCCGCCUUAGGUGACUGGCUGGCUGUGUAUGGUCUAGCCAUCAGACUGUACCUUUUCCUGGAACUCGAGCCUUUUACGCUUUCCAGCAGGGUGAAUGUUAAACGCAAAUAUUUAAAACAGUCUCUUGGACGCAUCGGGAACAAUUUGAUGAUCGGGCUGAUACUGCUGAAGACAGGGAGAGCUUCUGACUCACAGUGCCCAUUCCUGGCGGUUCUGUUGCAGAGAUGGAUCUGGACCUAAACUAGACCUGUGCCUUCAGCUCCCACCAAGCUUUGGAGUGGUUCGGCUACUGCUUCUGACCUCAUCCUUCUCUCUAACCAAGGGCUCAACCAGAACGCUGAAUCCAACCCAACCCAGCUUCAGAGACAUUUGGAUUCUGGCUCCAAUCUUCAUGACUCACCUCAGACCACUGUGAGAAUAUAUGCUGUCUGCAGGCCAACCUCAUGAUGCUCAGGGUGAUGAAUAUAGGAGCUACUUCCAGAAACAAGGUGACUGACACUUUGUUGUGUGUCUGGUGCCUACAUACUGCGCUGAUGGCUACUGUAGAAAUGGAGAAAGGCAGCCCAGAGAUUGGGGUUCUGCAUUGGACAGGGAUACUCACGUGGUUCAGAACUUUAGCUGACCAAUCAGGCUUCUCCUUUUACCCAGCUUAUUGUACAGAGUGGAGAUCUGCUUUCUGUGUGGCUGACCCGUGCAAACUUGCUUUGCAGAGCGGUCUAUUCUCUGGUGCUCUGAAAUAAAUUACUAAAUGUAAACAAUGCGCAAUAAACCAGGUCCUUCACGGCACAGACCCUUUGCCACCCGGGAUCCACCCUGUGCUAAACCUUUUCAUGGUCGGCAGCCUACAGCGUGAUUUUUUUCCCCUCUCCCGGGGCGGGAUUAGGACCUUUUCCUACCAGGACAGUAGAGAGAGCUGGCAUCACUCCAGCAUGGACACCGCCAUGACACAGUCCUUCCCUGGAAGAUGAAUGGCCGGCCAGUUUUCUUAAUCCAGCCACUUUGGAAAAAUUGUUUGUUCUCAUCCUGUUUGAAACGGCUUCAAAGUGGCUCCGGUCUAGACUGUGCCAAGAUAAAUUACAAACCCAAAGAGCUGAUAUAAACCACAGGGGGAGCGAGUCAUUUGCUUUAAUGUAAUUAAAACAAGCUAUACUAAUGUAUGUAUGUAUGUAUAUGUGCAUGCACACUCUCGUCUAGCUGGAAGGUUGGGGAGGAAGAAAAAAAGCUCUGCUGGAAAGCUUUUGUUUUGCUCGCCCCGUGAAGGCUGAGAUUUCUCCAGUGGAACCGAAUUUUGAGAAGCACCGUCUCCACCCCGCCAGUCCUUUAAGACUGGCGGGGUGGAGACCCAAGUUGAUCCUUUCCCCUCCCACAGCUUCAGCCAGCCAAUUAGAUUGUAGCAGGCGAGCUAGGCUGCAUGGCGAUAGGUAUAAAAGGAGUAGGGAUAUAUGAAAAUUAGCAGGAGGCCAUUGGUGUUGGGGGCGCGGAUGGAUACACAGUACUUAGAUACAAUCCGGACAGCUAAGAAUGAGGGAGUGGCACUAUUCGGAAAGAGGAAUACAGCACUGUAACAGGGUGAUAGAGGCCCAAGGCCUUAGAAACAAUAACAGAGAACAACAGAAGGAGAGAAAUGGUGCCCUGCUCUCGGUGUGAAAACCAACGUAGAGCAAGGCCAGAUAGGGCUAAUCAUCACUAACGGAUCUGACCCUUAGAGCAUGAUUUUCCUACCACAUAAUCCAAUGUGACUUUUAGGCUCUGUAAAGACACAAAGACACAGUCUGUGCCACUGUAACUCAUCUAUUUGGUUAUAGGGUCCAAGUUUCUGGUUUGGUUUUCAUACUUGAAGCUUUAGACAGAUGUAGAUCUAAACACAAUCUCAAAGACGUAGUCUGUGUUUAAAAAAGAAUAGCUUAAAAAGAAUGAAGUUACUUUUACCAUUAUUCAUCAGAUCUUUUUGUUUAUGCUGCACAAGCUGACGGAGACAAUAUUAUUCACCAGAAGUACUGUACAAACUCAAAAAUAUAGCUCUAUUAGCAGUAGAUAAGGCGAAAAUGUUCAUGAGUAUGUCGUCUGGGUCAGAGUUAUGGUUGAUUCUGAAACACAAAAGGUUGGCUGUUACAUGUCAGUAGUGUUGUUAACUAAUUUUGCUACACGAGCUGCUGGAAUAAUGGAAAAUAUCUGAUGUUAUUUCCUUUCUUCUGAAUGUUUAAAGGAUAGAUGUUGCUGCCUUUACUCACAUGGUGUAUCACCUUGCUCCACAAGGGGUCCCACUGAUUUUAUGGGGACUACUCAAGGAUUAAGGUACUACUCAGUAUAUGUAAGGAUAUUACACUCUGGCCCUUAUUAGCCAGUUAGAAUGAGGGUUAAUCAUUGGAGCAACCUUAACCUGACAGCUUUUCGGGAGGUUGGUAUUUAUCAAUCUAAGCGUCAGUAAAUCAGUUUUUAAAACUAGGUUCUGGAGCAGAUCUCAUUCUGUGAAGAGGAUUGCACAUGUAAAGUAAAUGGGCGUGAUUAUUUCUAACAAACCAUUCAGGGGUAAUUCUCACAUGAGGCUUUGAUGAUCUCAGUCCAAAAAUAUCUUGGUUAAACAGCACAAGAACUGCCAUACUCAGGCCAAUACUCCAUCUAAUCUAGGUACCUUCCUCUGGUACCACAAGUUUAAAAGGCAGGGGGAAAAAACCCUAGACUUCAGCUGGAAACUGUGCAACAUUCAACUGAAUUUUCAUCCUGACCCUUAAGAACAAUCAGCUUGUGCCCUGAAGCAUGAGGAGAGAUAGUAACACCUGUCUUUUUUUAUCCUUCCUAGUGUAUCUGCCAUUGCCAUUCUUAGUCAGAUCUGCUUAAUCAUUGCUUCGAAGAUAUUUGCCUCAGAACCAUUUUUAAUCUCUCUUUUUUUCCUUCUAUGGAGAACAAGCUGAAAUCUGCUCAGAUAACUUUAAGCUUAAAAUAUACGGGCCCUGUUAUUGUUGGGUUUGUUUUUCAACAAGCCACAGUUGAAUCAAGAGCUGUUGGUGAGAAACUAAUGGCUUGUCUCCACUAGGAAGUUGUAGGGCUUUAGCUGUUGGUAUAGGUACAGCAGUAAAAUCCUCCGAGUGUGGGCGCAAUUCCAUCAGUGUAAAGGGAUUUUAUACCACUAAAGCUACUCCCAUAUGGGACGGGAAUAACUAUAUUGGGAUAAGGCACCUUUAUAGUGGUCUAACUAGGGGAUGUACCAACAUAACUAGAAAAUCACCUCCCUAACUGACAUAGUUAUAUUAGAAAAACUGCCGAGGUGUAGACCAGGCCUAAGACAGCUGGGAGAUGGACUAUACCAUUGCUGCAAAAGGCCGGGGAGAGUUAUUGUACUGCCUGACUGCGGCGAAGGAUUAAACUAGCACUGGCUUUCAUUUGCAUGCCAUUAACAGUGAGGAUCUCUCUAGCUCUGGGUGGGGCUGCUCACCAACCCUGUGUUUGCAGGUGUCCUUCCUUCCCCAUGCAAAUCCUUUCCCGUCAGUCAGGCUCUCUUUCCAAACACGACAUUAUCUUCAAUUAAAAACAAAGACAAGCUGAACAGCAGGUGCUGACUUGUCCGGGCUACAAUUAGCAACCUCAGCUGUGCGACUUAUUUGGGGGAGAGGUCAGGGGUUUGCUUUUUUUGAGUGUGUUUUCUCCCUCUGUUUAUUUCUGUUCGUGUAUUUUCCAAAUUGUAUCCGCACAGGUGAGGGUUAAACGAACUUUGCUCAGCUCAGGACCCUGGCAGUGCCCUGUUUGCAUCCAACGGAGCAGACUUUAGCCAGCCUCUUCUAGGAUAGGAUCCUGUGUGUCUCCUCGGCUCCCACGGAUUGCAAGUGACGGAGCCCUAAUGCCGUAGUGCAGCCUGGCUCAGAUGCCAGGUCCCCCUGCACGCCUGGAUCCAAGCAGCCUCUAAGAUGGAGAGAGCCGCAGCCCCGUGCUAAUGGUCAGGGCGAAUGUGUGCCACAGGGUAGACUUCCUGCGACUUCAGGACGCAUUUGGGGGCGCUCCUGCAUUGGGCUCGUUGUGCUGCUGUUGGCCCGGGGGCCGUUUGAGAUCACAAAGCGCUGGAGGGAUUAAUUGCAUUCCCACGGGGCGAUUGCUGCGGGCGAGCUAAUGCGAAGGCAUUCUGGGCGGGGUUUUUUCUCUCCUUCCUCUGAAGCAGCAGGGCCAGCCAUAGCUGGAGAUGGGACACUGAGUGGGGUGGGCCAGGGCUUUGAGGUGUUCCUGGGCAUUCUCUCUCUCAGGGGCUCUUGUUCCCAUACUCAGGGGCUCACCGAUCACCAGAUUCAGGGUCGGGAAGGAAUUUCCCUCCAGGUCACAUUGGCAGCGAUCUUGGGGGGGUCGGGGGGGUUCACCUUCCUGUGCAGCGUGUGUGUGUGUGGGCCGCGUGCCAGGAUUAUCCGGGUGUAUCUCACGUAGCCGUUUCCUUGCACUGGUGCACCUCAGGCCCUCCUGUUCUCUGCCUGUGGCACAUCAGAGCCAAGUCUCCCGUGGGCUGGAAUACUUGGGUCUGUUUCGGUUGUUGGGUUUAGUGCGCGGGUGCGGAGUGGACUUGGUGGCCUGUGCUCUACAGGACGUCACUGGACGAUCUGGUGGCCCCUUCUGGCUUAAAACUCUAUUACUCUGCACCCAUAUUGCCUGCCAUGUGUACCUGUCGCAUCCCUUGCACCUUGUCUUAUGGAGCAGGUCAGGACUUGUGGUUAGCUACUGCGCUGGUCAAAAAGUGCUGGGGGACUUUAAAAUUCUGCCUAGAUGACCCACCCCGCAGAGACCUCAAUAUAAUGUUUCAGCCAGAGGGCACCUCUGCCAGUGCAGCCCCCUCCUCCUCUCAGCAUGGCACGGCCAGUUUCAGUGUUGGGUAUAUGCCCAGGUCCUCUGGUGGGAGUUGGAGUGGGGAGUAUUUGUGUCUUAAUAAAAUAACUUCUUCUGGCCCAGGCCGGGCUGAGUCGCUGCUGCACUGGCCUGAGGAGUGGCUGCAGGACGGCAGCGCGGCCCAUUCAUUGCUUUACGUACGUAUGGGUCCCCGGGGUAGAUACGAAACCAGCUCCCUGGAGCCCCAUUCUGUUCCAUUUGCUUCGUGAUUUAAGCCUGCAAGCCCCUGCAAACCUGCAACCUCCACGUCGGUAUCGAUGCGGGCUCAAGCAUUCUUCAGCCACAUAAAUUUCAGGUCCGGGUGCUUUGAAGUUCCCAAUGAGGACAGUUGUUUUUGUUUGUAGUGUUGCUUAUCACUUUAAUGCCCCCUCCCUGUCUCCACGCGGGCUCCACUCUCAAUCUAGCCCCAUCCUUCUGUCCAUGCAGGCCCUGCUGCCAGGGACCGCAGCGCUGCCAGAGACCACUGAUAAGGAUGAUGGAUGGGGAGAAGGCUGGCUCCACCAUGGCCCAGUGGCUUCCUGGGAGCUCGAGACAGUCUAGCUGUUCCAAAGCCCAUUGGAAUGCUUGUUUAGAAGCUGGAAAGCAGCUGGGGAGGGGGAAGAAAGGGGCAGAAAAUGCUGCCUCCAUCCCCCUUCCCAGAUGAAUCCCAGAUGAACCCUCAGCCUGGCUGCGAUAGCAGAUUUCAGCACCCUUCCGCUGCAAUGAUUUGCUCCCAUGUUGACAAGGUUCCCUUUCAGCAUCUAGCCCACCCUGCAAUCCCGUUCUUCCAGGCCAGUACGCGGUGGCUCUGAUUCACCCAGACACUGGUGGAGGCGGCCAAAGCAAACCAGGGAAUAUAGCGAGGACCAAUUCUCCACCACUUUCCCGCCGCUGCAGCCAGUUCUUACCGUGCAAAGGGAGGACCCAGGAGUGCCAAACGUCAGCAGCUGUCUUGGGCCAGCUGGGAGCGACUCUGGAUCCGAGCCGGCUUCUUUCGGUGGAAUGAGUGAGGCCGGUGGCUUUCGUCAGCUGCUGCCUGUGAUACGCGGCUGGAGUCUAGUGAAAAAGCCGAAUCCUGUGUUCCGGGGAUUGCAGCCCGUUGUCCUGGCGAUGAUGCUGAUCUCACGAUCGCAGCAUGAUGACUUCACUGCAGGGUGUGGAAGGAGGAGACAGCUAUUUCCUCAGCGAAAUGGCCAGGGGACCAUGACAGACAGUACAGGAAAGAUUUCCUCCCCGGCUGAGAAGAAACGUGCUAGAUCCUUCACAAAGUAAAGACACGUCCAGACAAGCUCUCUGCCCCAGAAAGCGUCCAGCCUCCAUUCUGCACGACGCAGCAAAGGCAAGUCAGAAGGAUGAAAAGCGGGAAGGGGAGAGGACAGCCCAAGGUGACCGUGGUAAGAUCAGCACCUCAGCGUCUUCUGCCCAGCACCUUUCAUCUGGGGACCCCCAAAGCACGUUACAGACCUUCCUUGGGCCUGGCAGCAUGCCUGCAAUGAAGGGCAUUGUAAGAACUCUCCUUCUGUGGAUCAAAGUUUAGGCUCCUCUGAUUUGGGAGGCCCAAUCUGAGACCCCCUUUGGGCCAGAUUUUCAGAGGCGUUGAGCCCCUGCCGCUCCCAUCAGGCCGGAUCCUCAGUUGGCAUAAAUUGGUAUAGCCCCUUCCAUGGAGCAAACACUGCUUUACAUCAGCUGGGGAUCUGACCCCUUGACAGCAAUGGUUUUCCAGGCAGCUUCAGCAGCUCUUUAACCCCUUCAUGACUGCGGGGCUCUAUCUCAGCAGCAGUGCAUGUGGACGCAGGGCCGGCUCCAGACACCAGCAAAGAAAGCAGGUGCUUGGGGCGGCCAACGGAAAGGGGCGGCACGUCCGGGUCUUCGGCGGCGGGUCCCUCAGUCCCUCUGGGAGCGAAGGACCCGCCG